GUCGAGAAUCUUCCGCAAUGCGCGAAAGCGUGACGGAGCGACACCGCGUGAUGGAUGAAGUCCUUCGGGGCGUAAACAUCUUUUAUAAAGGAGGAAAUUUUUGACGUUACUUUAUGAAUAAGGGGCUCCCAAUCUCGUGCCAGCAGGAGCGAUAAUACGAGAGCCUCAAGCGUUAUCCGGAAUCAAUGGGCGUAAAGGGUUCGUAGGUGGUUUGAUUAGUCUCCCGUUAAAACUUCGAUCUUAACUCGAAAAGAGCGGGGGAAACGGGCAAACUAGAGUAUGUGAGAGGUGGGUGGAACUCAUGGUGUAGGGGUGAAAUCCGGUGAUAUCAUGGGGAACACCAAAAGCGAAGGCAGCACACUGGCACAUCACUGACACUGAGGCACGAAACCUAAGGUAGCGAAUGGGAUUAGAUACCCGAGUAGUCC
rnacentral:rRNA from 1 species